GAUGCAUGCAGCCUAGAUUAGCAUGAUUGGUCAUUUGGAGCACUCCACUGUAUAUUAAGUUGAUAUUUAUAACACAAUUUGAUCUGAACCAGGACUUGGUCAAAUUCAGUUAAAAUUUGGAGACUUCAAAAGUUCAUUAGGUAGCUUUGAGAAAGUUUUGGAGGUGCACCCUGAAAAUUGUGAAAGUUUGAAGGCUAUUGGUCACAUACAUGCAAAAUCUGGGGAAACUGAAAAAGCUAUAGAAACCUUCAAGGAAGUUACCCGUAUUGACCCAAAAGAUCAUCAGGUACUUGCUUCCCCCUCCCCUCAACCAUUACUUUCAUGGCUUCAUGUAUUCGGGUCAAAAGAAGUGCUGUAACAUGGUCCCAAAAUAUAAUUCUGCCACUAAUUUGUUUCUAACAUGUCAAUACAUAAAUAGUACAACUGCUUUCCAGGAUGAAUGUACUGAUGAAAUUUUCAAAUGCUCAAUCUGAACAUAAAUUACUCCAUAUGAACAUGGCAAAAAAUAUAUAUUUUUGAACACUGAAUUUUGGUCCAUCUCUGGAUCUUUGAAUGCUGAUGAUUUGCAACAAUGAAGAUGCUGAUCUAGGAUGAAGUUGAUUGAAAACUUGGAAUGCUAGCAUCUUACAGUCAGUUUUUUGUUGUCGAUUUGAUCUGUAUUUGGUCCAUGAAAGGAACACACUACAUUUGCCCUAAUGUGUAGUUUUGAUUGGUAUACAGAUUUUCUAUUGUUACCUUAAUUAUUAAUCUAUAAUGAGAAACAUUCUUUAUCUUCAUAGUUUCUCUCACGUC